ACGGGGGCCCGCACAAGCGGUGGAGCAUGUGGUUUAAUUCGAUGCAACGCGAAGAACCUUACCUGGUCUUGACAUCCACGGAAGAAUUCAGAGAUGGAUUUGUGCCUUCGGGAACCGUGAGACAGGUGCUGCAUGGCUGUCGUCAGCUCGUGUUGUGAAAUGUUGGGUUAAGUCCCGCAACGAGCGCAACCCUUAUCCUUUGUUGCCAGCGGUCCGGCCGGGAACUCAAAGGAGACUGCCAGUGAUAAACUGGAGGAAGGUGGGGAUGACGUCAAGUCAUCAUGGCCCUUACGACCAGGGCUACACACGUGCUACAAUGGCGCAUACAAAGAGAAGCGACCUCGCGAGAGCAAGCGGACCUCAUAAAGUGCGUCGUAGUCCGGAUUGGAGUCUGCAACUCGACUCCAUGAAGUCGGAAUCGCUAGUAAUCGUGGAUCAGAAUGCCACGGUGAAUACGUUCCCGGGCCUUGUACACACCGCCCGUCACACCAUGGGAGUGGGUUGCAAAAGAAGUAGGUAGCUUAACCUUCGGGAGGGCGCUUACCACUUUGUGAUUCAUGACUGGGGUGAAGUCGUAACAAGGUAACCGUAGGGGAACCUGC
rnacentral:rRNA from 1 species